rnacentral:misc_RNA from 1 species
GUUUUAGCAUUAUUUGUGGCACCUUUUAGCUGCUACCCUUAUUUUCAUCUCAGACACAUGCUUGCAUGUGUGAAUAAAGAGGAGCACAUGAAUAUUGAUGAAAAUUAUGCUACUUAAAGAAGAAUAAUCAAGCUUGGGGUCUUUUUAUUUCUUUUAACUUAUUUUCUUGCUGUGUGAAGAUCUUGACUACUUGAAGAAUUUCAUAUCCUUGGUGUGUGUGUUUGUUUGUUUUUUU